rnacentral:rRNA from 1 species
AUUGAACGCUGGCGGCAUGCCUUACACAUGCAAGUCGAACGGCAGCACGGGUGCUUGCACCUGGUGGCGAGUGGCGAACGGGUGAGUAAUACAUCGGAACGUACCUUAUCGUGGGGGAUAACGCAGCGAAAGCUGUGCUAAUACCGCAUACGCCCUGAGGGGGAAAGCGGGGGAUCGCAAGACCUCGCGCGAUUAGAGCGGCCGAUGCCUGAUUAGCUUGUUGGUGGGGUAAAAGCCCACCAAGGCGACGAUCAGUAGCUGGUCUGAGAGGACCAUCAGCCACACGGGGACUGAGAAACGGCCCAGACUCCUACGGGAGGCAACAGUGGGGAAUUUUGGACAAUGGGGCCAACCCUGAUCUAGCAAUGCCGCGUGAGUGAAGAAGGCCUUCGGGUUGUAAAGCUCUUUUGUCAGGGAAGAAACACCGGCUCUAACACAGUCCGGGAAUGACGGUACCUGAAGAAUAAGCACCGGCUAACUACGUGCCAGCAGCCGCCGUAA